CUAAACAGUACGUAGACAAACGUAGAGGUGCUCAGGCAACUCGUAUCAAGGUGGGAGACACCGUCAAAGUAAAACUUGCCAAGAAAAGAUUUUUUAAGUACAGUACGCCUCGUACAGUUAAAGCCCAGGUAGGACCAUCCUCUUUUGUACUCAGUGAUGGGAAGACGUGGAAUGCCUCUAAGUUAACCACAGUAGUAGAUAAUUCAAAACAUAGUACAUUGUCCACAACGGAUAAAGAUUUUUUGUACUCGUA
rnacentral:lncRNA from 1 species